rnacentral:rRNA from 1 species
CCUACGGGUGUCAGCAGUGAGGAAUAUUGGUCAAUGGGCGCGAGCCUGAACCAGCCAAGCAGCGUGAAGGAUGACUGCCCUACGGGUUGUCAACUUCUUUUAUAAAGGAAUAAAGUGAGGCACGUGUGCCUUUUUGUAUGUACUUUAUGAAUAAGGAUCGGCUAACUCCGUGCCAGCAGCCGCGGUAAUACGGAGGAUCCGAGCGUUAUCCGGAUUUAUUGGGUGUAAAGGGAGCGUAGAUGGGUUGUUAAGUUAGUUGUGAAAGUUUGCGGCUUAACCGUAAAAUUGCAAUUGAUACUGGCAGCCUAGAGUACAGGUGAGGUAGGCGGAAUGCGUGGUGUAGCGGUGAAAUGCUUAGAUAUCACGAAGAACUCCGAUUGCGAAGGCAGCUUACUAAACUGCCACUGACAUUGAUGCUCGAAAGUGUGGGUAUCAAACAGGAUUAGAUACCCUUGUAGUC